CCUCUUCCUCUUUACCGUAAGGACCUCCACUUAGAAUUGAAAUAAAUUCAUCUCCCUUGGCUCUUUCAGAGAGGGUUUCGAUUCAGCUGGACCAGAUUCAUCCAACCAGUCUCACCAUCAAAAUCUAAGAAGAUGAGGAAAUUUCUCCUCCUCGCUUUUCUUCUCUUCUGCCCAGAGGCGGUGGGCUUCAAUUGCUACAAGACUGAUGUGAGGUUCCCAACCAUCAUCAAAACAGUCGCUGCUCGUAGGACGGAAGUCUGUGCCUCAAUAUUUUUGUACUUGCGUUAUAAUGGCAGAGAUAUAGAAAGAAAUGUUGUUACAGCUUUGGAUGCUGUUGAAAGAUGCAAUGUACAGGAAGUAAAUGGCUCUAUAUAUCCUACUCUGUGCUGCGCAACUGAUCUCUGUAAUGCUAAAAGACCGUGACAAGAUAUUUCUGGUUUCAACCUGUGAUUAACCACCAGAACCAUCUCCUUUCAUAAAGCCUGAUGUAUAAUUCCACAGACAAAUAAUAAAGGAGCAUUCAAAUCCA
rnacentral:lncRNA from 1 species